CAUGUAGGCGGUUGUUUAAGUCUGGUGUGAAAGCCCGGGGCUCAACCCCGGAAGUGCAUUGGAUACUGGACAACUUGAGUACGGGAGAGGAAAGUGGAAUUCCGAGUGUAGGGGUGAAAUCCGUAGAUAUUCGGAGGAACACCAGUGGCGAAGGCGGCUUUCUGGACCGAUACUGACGCUGAGAUGCGAAAGCGUGGGGAGCAAACAGGAUUAGAUACCCUGGUAGUCC
rnacentral:rRNA from 1 species